rfam:Triticum aestivum genome assembly, contig: Triticum_aestivum_CS42_TGACv1_scaffold_061188_1DL
UUUCUACUCCCUCCGUCCGGAAAUACUUGUCAUCAAAAUGGAUAAAAAAAGGUGUAUCUAGAACUAAAAUACAUCUAGAUACAUCCCCUUUUAUUCAUCUUGAUGACAAGUAUUUUCGGACGGAGGGAGUAUAAU